rnacentral:tmRNA from 1 species
GGGGACGAGUGGCUUUGACAGGGGUUGAGGACCAGGAGAGGCAAGCCGAGGUGCCGUUACCUCGUAAAACCGGCGGCAAAAAAGUAACUGGCAACAAAAGUUACGCUUUAGCUGCCUAAAAGCAGGUAGCUACACCCACUCCAGCCUCCCCCCGGCGGGAGGGAGAUGGGUGACGAAAAGCCGGGGCGCUUCCGUCCUGACGCCGAUGCGGGCGGCCUAAGACAUUUCGGCUGGCCUUGGUGGACUGGGCCGGUUGAGGCCACCGGGGCAAGGAAUUAAAAGGCCGGCUAAGCUUGUAGUCACCUCUUGGGGAGCAAUUCUUGGACGGGGAGUUCGACCCUCCCCCGUCUCCACCA